rnacentral:rRNA from 1 species
GAGCGAUGCUACUGCUAUACAUGCAGUCGAGCGAAUGGAUUAAGAGCUUGCUCUUAUGAAGUUAGCGGCGGACGGGUGAGUAACACGUGGGUAACCUGCCCAUAAGACUGGGAUAACUCCGGGAAACCGGGGCUAAUACCGGAUAACAUUUUGAACCGCAUGGUUCGAAAUUGAAAGGCGGCUUCGGCUGUCACUUAUGGAUGGACCCGCGUCGCAUUAGCUAGUUGGUGAGGUAACGGC